rfam:Fukomys damarensis contig137185, whole genome shotgun sequence.
ACAAUGAAUGUAAUCAUCAUGUACUACAAAUGUGAACAUGAAUAAUUGAAAAUUAAGUGAAAAAAUAAAUUCUCUUUUGCAACCCAGAACGCAUUGUUCAGUAUGAGUCUGAUACACAUGAGAAGAAAUAUU